rnacentral:rRNA from 1 species
UUGACCGUGCGAAGGUAGCGUAAUCACUUGUCUUUUAAAUGGAGACCUGUAUGAAUGGCACAACGAGGGCUUUACUGUCUCCUUUUUCCAGUCAGUGAAACUGAUCUCCCCGUGCAGAAGCGGGGAUUAAAACAUAAGACGAGAAGACCCUAUGGAGCUUAAGACUCUAAAGGCAGACUAUGUUAAACACCCUCGAAUAAGAGGCCGAACAGUAUGGACACUGCCCUCAUGUUUUUGGUUGGGGCGACCCUGGGGAAAAACAAAACCCCCAUGAAGACAGGGAGAACAGACUCCUACAGACAAGAGCCACUGCUCUAAUCCACAGUAAAUCUGACUUAUAUGAUCCGGCUUUGGCCGAUCAACGGACCGAGUUACCCUAGGGAUAACAGCGCAAUCCUCUUUUAGAGCCCAUAUCGACAAGAGGGUUUACGACCUCGAUGUUGGAUCAGGACAUCCUAAUGGGUGCAGCCGCUAUUAAGGGGUUCGUUUGUUCAACGAUUAAAGUCCUACGUGAUCUGA